UGCCAACACAGACUCAUUUAUGCUAGGCCCGGUUUUAGCUCUUAGAGUCAGGGUUGAUUUCUCAGAAGUUGAACAAAUUUUAAUGAAAUGAAAUUACCAGCCUCUUAAUAUUCUCAUUAGAGAAACCCAGGGACAUCAAAACCAGAGAAAAUCCCUAAACUUCGUUUGACCCAACAGCUGCACUGGCAGGACGACAUGACCCCUUUAAAGACCCCAGCCGAUGGCAGCAAUGGCACAGCCGGAUUCUGCUGCUCUCAAGAACACACCUGUGGGGACACUUGAAACACACGGUGGGCAAGCUGCUGUUCGCCUGCCUGCCCAGCCCGAUGCUCGGCUACAGGACUGCGAAGCCCCUCGCAGGUGAAAGCUUUAGGCUGUCUAUCAGUCGCAGAUCUCAGAGGCAACUGCAAACAUAUUUAAACAUUGCAGAGACUAUCUCCAGACAUAAGCCAAAGAGCUGCCUCCAGUGAGAAAGCUGUGUCAACCACCCUUGCUUCCCCGGGCUUGACCACAACCACAGAUGCUAUCUUCUGAAGCAAACAGCAAAGCUACCUGCCAGAGAGCCAAGCUUCUCUGUGUCAUUUACCUCCAUCUCACCCGACCACCUCUCCUGGUCAUGCUCCAGUUCAGGAUCCGUUUCAAAGGUCUGACCUUCCCUUGGGAUUUCACCUUACUCCAGAGCACUGGGAUUCACAGCCUGCCACGCCAGAAUGCGUUUCUGAAUCUCUUCUCUCAAAUAAAGAUGAUCUCACGUCU